CUGUUAGCGAUAGUAUUACAUAAUUGUAUCAUCUUAGAUGCAGUUAGAGUUUAGAUGAGGUAACAUUAAUGCUACGCUACCCUCGGCCAGUCUUCCCAUGUGGUGACAUUUUAUUUUACCAAAGUUAAGCUUAUCUAAGCUUGUUAUUGAUGGGCUAGCCUAGUGUAACACAAUUCCAACUGUGUAGGCCUAGUGGUUAUAUUUCUGACACUGAUGCAAUCCAUUUUAUUAUCCUUCUCCAGACCAGACCUGCUGCAAGUGCCUUGCGUGGACUGAAAAAAGGUGGUUGCAUAUGCAAUACGUUGUGAAAAUACCGAAGUAAGAACUGUGACCAGAUAUGGAUAACCCUGAAGAACACAAAACUGGGGUGUGUGUGUAAAUUAUGCCACGCUGGACAACUACUAAAUGCAAACAAACCUUCUCCUUGUGGACAUGGCAGACAGACACACUGUUGAGUCGUGACUGCUCCAUCGUGGAGCGGAGCCAAUUCUUCAAACGACGCAGGGCACUGAAGCUCCGCUCCGCUUCGCAAGAAGAGACUGGGACCACAAGCAACAGCCUAACAAAAGCCUCCACCUGGGUGUUGCUCCAACGUGGCCAAACGGCCAAGGCCCUCUUGGUUGAACCUCUCAUCCAGCUGCGUGCUUGCUGUGUCGAUGGCAGAGAAAAUUUGCACCCUGAAAAAGUCCUCUGCCGAAGAGGGGGUGUGGCUUUUUGCAGGCCCACCAUAUCGGUUAGCUGGUUUCCGUACUUGUGGAAGAUUUAUUGGCUGAAGAUCAAGAGAUGUGCUUUUAUUGAGACCUUCAAGCUGCAGGAGAAUAUCCUGCCCAAGGAUAAGGCCAAGUACCGUGUUGCCUUUUUGGAGAUGGUCAAGAAGGCCACUUGCUCGAGGAGCUGUGACCCCAUUCGAGGAAGCCAACUCCUCUAAUGCAGCCAAGAUCACCUCGUAUUGGACUGGCCAAACAAACAUCCCAGGUCAUGGAUCCAUUGGAGGGCAUCUCGCACAACUGGUGUGGAUAAGCAGGCUUUUUGCGUGACCAGAUUCACACAGUGAGGACCACAGUGGACAAAAGUGGCAAGCGGCUGUUCUCUGCGGACCAAAGCUUGCAUCCCAGAUAGGUGCCCUGACAUGUUUGCUGCUCCAUCAUAGGUUUGGCCACGAAGACCCGAGAGUGGAAGAUUGAGACGGAGCAGCACAUCAGAGGCAAUUUUCCAAAGAUGCUCGCCAGUUGUGGAAGAGGCCUCGUACAACCCUACAAACUCCUCCCUUGGUUCCAGAUCUUGGUCCACAUAGCGGAGGCAGAUGGAGAUCUGCUCUGUUCCACUGACGUCCUGUGUUCCGUCCAUUAUGAGGGAAUACUGCAGCAUUUUUGUGGAGUAGUCCAGUAGGAUUUAGGACUGCAUAUUUGGCAAACAGAAUGCAGAUUUCAAUGUUGACUUGUUUUAAGAUCAUUGUUGCUGCCUGUCUGUAUGUUUAUUUGAAUACGAUCAGGUCUUUCUCAAGACAUUUGAGGGCCUCACCUCGACAUGCUCAUCUGCCUGUUCCUGCAUUUCUUGGUUUAUCUCAGAUGGACCUAGGUCCUGUUCCUGACACAGACCAUGUAAAAAUUGAAUGUAACUUGUUUCAAUGUAUUGAAUCAUACUUUAAUUUCACAGGGUGAAAUAUUGUUGUUCAUGUAGUGUUCCCUGUUUAAAUGGAAAUCUGUCAAUUGACACACAGGUUUGUUUUUCUAGGUUGACUGAGUACUGUGAGCGGCCAAUAAUGGGAAAAUGUCCUUGUGACGAGUCCAUCCAGGAACUUGUUUCUGCCAACUCACCUCUUCAUUGCCAUCUACCAGUUCCUGCCUUUCAUUAAGCUCUGAUGCACUUGGUUCCUGUUCCUUAUAAAUAAAUAAAAAUGUGUUCACUC
ensembl:lncRNA